CUUCUCGACCGGUCCGCGAAAUAUUGUCUGACAUGAAACCGGUCCGUGAGGUAAAAAAGCUUGGGGACCGCUGGGCUGAUCCACAGCGUGUAUGUAUGUGCCUCCUGGAUCCUGAUUGGUAUCGCUGCUGCAGCCGCAAGGCACUGAUUGGAUGCUCACAGACCGUAAUACAGCGCAGAUGAACAUGAUUCAGACUACGCCGUUUAUAUGUUCAACAAUAGGAAACGUAGUCUUAGCUGUUUUAAAAUUACACCAAGUUUAUUUCGGAUUAUUCCAACGGAAGAAUACAAGGCGCAGGGAACUUUGAGGUGCGUAAACGCCACUUAUAGGUGCGUAAACGCUAUUUAUAGGUGCGUAAACGCUAUUUCCAAAUUCUAGAGGUGCGUAAACGGCGUUUACCCUCCACUACAGCCCUGGUCACAAUGUAACUACUGAGGACAUUGUAGCUGAUGUCUCUCUGUCAGCAGCUCAAAAACAAAAUCUCAACUGAUCAUACAACUGAAAGCAGUAUUCCUGCACUGCUAUACUCUUCAAGUUAGACAGAAAUGGUUUCAUUUAGUCUGCCGGCAACUGUUAUAGCCACUUGUCUUGCCCUCAGGUAAUCUGUUUCACAGCCCACGGGGACGAGAUUGUGUCAAGUACCUUGUCACUCAACCUUUAAAUUUAGAUGACAUGACUUUGCUUGUGGCUACGCCUCAAGUUCAUCAGCAUAACAUUUAAUUCUGAAUCCAACUUAAAUAUUGUACAAAGAGGUUAGAAUGGGAGUAGGUGUAUUCCAUUUGUUAUAUGUGUAUGUGUAUAUGUAUGUGUAUAUGCAUGUAUGUAUGUAUGUGUAUAUGCAUGUAUGUAUGUAUGUAUGUGUAUAUGUAUGUAUGUAUGUAUGUGUAUAUGCAUGUAUGUAUGUAUGUGUAUAUGCAUGUAUGUAUGUAUGUGUAUAUGCAUGUAUGUAUGUAUGUGUAUAUGCAUGUAUAUAUGUAUGUGUAUAUGCAUGUAUAUAUGUACGUGUAUAUGCAUGUAUAUGUAUAUACAUAUUGAUCAUAGUACUACUACUAAAAUCUUCUUCAACGUGGCUGUCCUCUUGAAUUUGCCAAAUCAAUGUAUGUCUAUUUUCUCAGCCGGCUGCGACCAAUAUCAGUUUUUUUACUCUCAUGGUCAACAUAAAUUAAACACCAUAAUCAUGAAAUAUCUAAAACAUUAUACACUAUAAUUCAAAGGAAUGCAUUGCGAUAGAAGAUCAGGAGUGUGUGUUUGUUGACACCAUCUGUGUGUCCACUUAUGUCAAAGUGAAUAUUCGAUUUGCUCUCCCUUUAAUUCAGAAUGCCUGAUCAAUAUUUCCUAACGCUAGAGCUACCAAGACAUCACAAGUUAACCCCUUGUGGCCUCAGGGACCUCAGUAAAGUAUCCGGCCCUCUGACACCUCCUGCUGUGCGGUAGUGAGAAACAGGUACACACUUUCAGACCAUCGCACAAGUGGAAACAGUUGGGUACUGCCAGAUCCUUGUCACAAGGGCCGAUGUGUGUGUUAUGUUGAUUGCAUUACCAUAUUUUAAAAAGAGCUUGUGACAGCAGAAGGCAUCCUACUUGACACGCUUCCUUCCCUAGGCCCAUAGAAACAGCUGUUGAAAUAACCCAGACGUGGGUCGUGAGGCCCCGCUGGCAAAUGCACCCAGCUGAGAAUACACACUUUGUUUAUUUCAUGCAACGUCUCCAGGGGGUGCACCAUACCUUUUAAAACAAGUGAGAUCACUGAACUCGGGAAUUAUGGAUUCAGUUUGUUUAAUCUCUAGUUUUGGGCUAGAGACAAAAGACAGAAUGUCUCACUAGAAUGAGCUGCAGAGCAAUUUAUCAAACUGUCACAUGCGAUAUGACGAUGACAUGUUUCUUAUGUAACAACCGCUGAAGACAUUCAAAACUUUAUCAAGCGAAUUAUUUUGUUGCAUUUCUAACCCAUUUUGUGAAGACAGUGGGAGCUAUUUAAUUGUUUUAGUUGAGGCGAACCUUGAGGGUCCGCGGUGCUUGUCAAGUAAAUUAAGGAUGCUCUUUGCUUAGGGGGGGAGGGGGGGUCUGACUGCUGUGAAUGGAUGAACCGGUUGAUAUGGAGUGCAACGGAGAAGCACAGCGCAUGAACAUGAAGCGGGUGUCUCCGUUUGUGCUCACCAGUCUGGAAUUAGCGCUUUUCAUUACUGAUGGCUUAUAGGCUGACUGUUUUGCUGCCGGCUGGGGUCACAAUAAAAUGAUGUGUUUGCCAAAGGCAGAGAGGCUGGGUGGCUGGGGACUAAAUGGCCCAGUUAUGAAGAGCUGAGCUUAUCUCCCUCUCUGAAUCAACUCCUACCUCCAGCAAAACUAAACAUACCCCUCCUCCUGUGGGACAACAAACGAUCCCUAUUUUUUCCUUAAAAAUACAUAUAUUUCAUUUCGGGCACACUUUAGAUCUGAGCACAAACCAGCCUAUGAAUUGCUUCAUCAUUGUGCAACAAAAUGAAUAAAAGCUACAGCAUGACAGUUGGUUGAUUUGCUACGUUUCCAACAUUUCAAAGCUGGGAUGGCAGGGAUCACUCUUCCUUUUGUAAAAAGGAUUUUAUUUGAUUUUUUAACUGUAUUUCCCUCAAAAACAUAAUACAUCUAAAGAUCAUGUUCUUUAUUGAUUAGACCCCCACUGGGAUCACUAAGUAUGAUAUAAAGCCGUCACCAUAUGCUUGUGUUUAAAGUCCCCUCUUAGAACAUAAGCUUAAAAUGAGCUUGGAUUACGCUUUCUGUGGGGGAUCGUCACCACAGCUCCCGGCUGCCUUUAAUCAUACAAUGAAUAACAGCGAAUUAUAUCAGUGUUUUAAGGUGAAUAGUUGAAAUGAAUCGUACUGCUAUUAAAGGAUUUCCUUGAUGUGGCAGAUUUUAAGCUGGAUGUUGGCGUUACAUUCAUCUUAUUUUGACUGUUAACAUUUUGUUCUGAAAUUAACGAUAAUAUUUUGUUAACAUGACUUGUUUCAUUUUUGCUUUUUUAAUAUGCCAGCUGAAUUUGAGCAGUUCUGGAUUCUUUUUGGAUGUGGUGGUCUCAACAGUGUUUUUUAAGGGUUUCAUUCUUUCAACCAAAUUGAAAAGAAAAUGCUAUCAAACUAAAAAAAAGAAAAAAGAAGUCAAUGUCAUUGUACAGAACUGCUGUAUACAGUCACAGUUCUUUUAUUUUCUGUUAUCCUACAUCCACAAUCUGUGGGCUGUCAUGUAUACACAGAAAACACAGAACUUUACUGUAUAAUGCAGCUUCGUACUGAAUAGCCCUCAAUGACAAUUCUACAACAGUGUAAAACUAUUAAUUGCACAUACACCCAUAUAAUAUGCAAACUGGGAGAGAAAUGCCCAAAGCUUUCUUAGAGCUUCCCAUAUUUUCUGUCUUUUCCCCAAAGAUUUAUUAGACAUGGUUUAACUAACAGUAGGCAGGGAACUCCUCCUUGCUGGAUUAUAUAAAUCAUUUUCCAUUAACCAUUUUAAUGGAGAGAAGAAAUUCAAGGACACCCUCAAUGUUAAGAUUAUCACUUCAAAGACAAGCUGUUGACACUCUGGAAACUCUUAACGACGUAAUGAAUGAAUCAUGAGCUCGGGUUUUUGGUCCUCCUACCGGCAGUGUGGUCUGACCCUCAUUGUGCAGCAGUAGUUCUUACCUGGCUUUCACAUUGACCGGUGAGAAAGGCAUUACGCCGAAAUGUGUCUGUUGAGACGGUGAGGUACAAAGGGACUGUUGUCGGUCACCUUUGUUUCUUGAUCACCUGCCGUCGUCCUGAAUAACAAAAGCAUUAAAACGAGGAUGGACGUGGUAGAGGUCGGUCGGGAGACUGCACGUUCUUCUAGAUCUGGUGCAAUAUUAGCCAACCCAAAUGGAUUCACUGUUGCUGUCUUAUUGAGAACAUUUGCUGUCGAAUUUGCUGUCUGCCACAUGGCAAUAUAACCUAUAACCUAUUUCUUUGUUAUUCCAGUGUUUGUUAGAAAUUCUUUGGGUGAGGAUUACACAGGACUGUAGUUGUGACCUCACCAGUUAAAUCACAAUCAAGGUUUAAAACCCAAAAUAGUGUUUUUAUGCAGUUGUAUCAAUUAUGCUCUUUUGCUGCUUGAGGUUUAAAUCUAACACUAUUAUUCUGAAUGCUUGCUGGAUUAUUAAUGCAAUAAAAAAGAAAAAAAAAUUGUGAAUUACUGAACAGUUGUUCAUCUUUAGGCCUUUAACAAAAGAAUGAGAAGGAUGUCAUACACAAAUGCUGCUCGGGAUAUUUUGUUGCCGCACCAAGAUUUUAUUUCGUUUGGUGUGUGAGCAAGAAAGCAACUUGGUGGUUUCCUAAACAGAAAAGUCUGAGAAACCGUUUAGAAAAUGGCAAGUCAGGCACUCAAAAAAUGGUUAAACUUAACAAAUGCCUGCAGGUGAUUGGCUGAACCAUCUGUUGGGCAGGCUCUCAAGAAGCUAGUUAGGAGAUCAAGCUAAACAUCAUUUACACCAAGAAUAGCCUUCAUUGCCUUUGCUCUUCUGAAAUACUCCUCAAUUCUGACAUAACUGAUGCUCUUGCUGUAUCCACACCAACGUCGUUAGGAGCCACAAUUGGACAACAGCUGCCUCUCUGUUUCGUGCUACAGGUCACUGAUUGGCCAUAAAAUCUGUGUUUUGCACCAAAAGGAUACGCCUAAAAGGAUUCGCUUUUAUGUGAUUUCAUGAAAUCCAGACAGCAUCCAGGACACCCAAGAAAAGGUUUCGCAAACAUGUAGCAUUGGCCGUAUUAUGUUUUUCUUUGCCAGUUAUCCAAGCGCAUAUCUGUUGUGAACACAAAGAUAGUUCCAUCAUUCAAUGAAAUGCCUUGUUAGUUGUGAAUAGCUCAGCACUAAAUUGAAUUACUCCAAAGCAAGUGAACUUGACCUAAGUGGAAGCAUUUAAUGAGGACAAAACUCUCUAGGUGAUCAAUAUGAUCUUUCAAGUCAAACUCUAAAUGGAAUAUGCUCAGCAGGCUCCCUUAAAAAUGUCCAUACUUGGAUCCAAGUGGUUUCAUAAUCGAACAAACAACAAAAUCAGAAACUUUCAGUCCUUCUGAAACUUCUUUAAAGGCUCCCCACUAAAGUGAAAAAACAUUUAAUUUUUUUAAUUGAAUCCGCGGGAAACAUGAUUUUACAUUAAAAACGUAACGGGUUUGAAAUAAUCUGUGAAUGACCCUCCCAAUAAAUCAGAGAGCAGCCAACAUGCAGCCCUGGGAGCCGCUGGUCAAAGCCCUCAGACUGCUGUGCUCUGACUGCAGCUUAUAGUCUAAGGUCAGCACUGAACUCCCCCCCC
ensembl:lncRNA